UAACGAAUCUUCCCCAAUGCACGAAAGUGUGAGGGAGCGACGCCGCGUGUGGGACGAAGUCCUUCGGGAUGUAAACCACUGUCAGGGGGUACCAAGUUCUGAGGACCCCCAGAGGAAGAGGCGGCUAACUCUGUGCCAGCAGCCGCGGUAAGACAGAGGCCUCAAGCGUUAGGCGGAAUCACUGGGCUUAAAGCGUGUGUAGGCGGAUGCCUAAGUACCUUGUGAAAUCCCACGGCUCAACCGUGGAACGGCUGGGUAUACUGGGCGUCUUGGGCCAUUCAGGGGCGACUGGAACAAGCGGUGGAGCGGUGAAAUGCGUAGAUAUCGCUUGGAACGCCGAAGGUGAAAACAGGUCGCUGGGGAUGUGCCGACGCUGAGACACGAAAGCCAGGGGAGCAAAC
rnacentral:rRNA from 1 species